GAUGAAGAACGCAGCGAAAUGCGAUAAGUAAUGUGAAUUGCAGAAUUCAGUGAAUCAUCGAAUCUUUGAACGCACAUUGCGCCCGCCAGUAUUCUGGCGGGCAUGCCUGUUCGAGCGUCAUUUCAACCAUCAAGCCCCAGGCUUGUGUUGGGGACCUGCGGCUGCCGCAGGCCCUGAAAACCAGUGGCGGGCUCGCUAGUCACUCCGAGCGUAGUAAUACAUCUCGCUCAGGGCGUGCUGCGGGUUCCGGCCGUUAAAAAGCCUUAUUUACCCAAGGUUGACCUCGGAUCAGGUAGGAAGACCCGCUGAACUUAAGCAUAUCAAUAAGCGGAGGA
rnacentral:misc_RNA from 1 species